UACGGAGGGAGCAAGCGUUACUCGGAAUUAUUGGGCGUAAAGGGCGCGUAGGCGAUCUGAAAAGCUCUGUGUGAAAGCCCACAUGUUAACUGUGGAAGUGCACAGAAAACUGUUGGAUUUGAGUUCAGGAGAGGAAGGCAGAAUUCCCGGUGUAGCGGUGAAAUGCGUAGAGAUCGGGAGGAAUACCAGUGGCGAAGGCGGCCUUCUGGACUGACACUGACGCUGAGGCGCGAAAGCCAGGGGAGCAAACGGG
rnacentral:rRNA from 1 species